GAUGAACGCUAGCUACAGGCUUAACACAUGCAAGUCGAGGGACCGACGCACGGGUGAGUAACACGUAUCCAACCUGCCCUUUACUCGGGGAUAGCCUUUCGAAAGUAUGAUUACUACCCGACAUAAAGGAUGGGGAUGCGUUCCAUUAGUUUGUUGGGGAGGUAUCGGCUCACCAAGCCUUCGAUGGAUAGGGGUGCUGAGAGGAAGGGCACCCACAUAGAAAGUGAGACACGGUCCAAACGCCUACGGGAGGCAGCAAGGAGUAAGAUUGGUCGAUGGGCGCGAGCCUGAACCAGCCAAGUAGCGUGAAGGAUGGAGGCUGAUGGGUCGUAAACUUCAUUUAUAUAAGAAUGUGUAUUAUAUGAAUAAGGAUCGGCUAACUCCGUGCCAGCAGCCGCGGUAAUUC
rnacentral:rRNA from 1 species